rnacentral:rRNA from 1 species
AUGUCGGGCCGCGGCAAGGGAGGCAAGGGGCUCGGCAAGGGCGGCGCGAAGCGCCACCGGAAGGUGCUCCGCGACAACAUCCAGGGCAUCACCAAGCCGGCGAUCCGGCGGCUGGCGCGCAGGGGCGGCGUGAAGCGCAUCUCGGGGCUCAUCUACGAGGAGACCCGCGGCGUGCUCAAGAUCUUCCUCGAGAACGUCAUCCGCGACGCCGUCACCUACACCGAGCACGCCCGCCGCAAGACCGUCACCGCCAUGGACGUCGUCUACGCGCUCAAGCGCCAGGGCCGCACCCUCUACGGCUUCGGCGGCUAG